rnacentral:rRNA from 1 species
GUUCUUCUACGGGACGCAGCAGUAGGGAAUCUUCCACAAUGGACGAAAGUCUGAUGGAGCAACGCCGCGUGAGUGAAGAAGGGUUUCGGCUCGUAAAGCUCUGUUGGUAGUGGAGAAAGAUAGAGGUAGUAACUGGCCCUUUUUUGACGGUAAUUACUUAGAAAGUCACGGCUAACUACUUGCCACCAGCCGCGGUAAUACGUAGGUGGCAAGCGUUGUCCGGAUUUAUUGGGCGUAAA